UGACUAAGCCAUGCAAGUCGAAGAGGGUUCGGCCCUCGGCGUACUGCUCAGUAACACGUGGAUAACCUGCCCUAGGGAAAGGGGAUAAUCCCGGGAAACUGGGGAUAAUACCCUAUAGGGUUACAGAUGCUGGAAUGCUCUGUAAUCAAAAGUUCCGGCGCCCUAGGAUGGAUCUGCGGCCGAUUAGGUUGUUGUUGGGGUAAUGGCCCAACAAGCCAGUAAUCGGUACGGGUUGUGGGAGCAAGAGCCCGGAGUUGGAUUCUGAGACACGAAUCCAGGCCCUACGGGGCGCAGCAGGCGCGAAAACUUUACAAUGCGGGCAACCGUGAUAAGGGAACCUCGAGUGCCUGUAAAUGCAGGCUGUUCAGAUGCCUAAAACACAUCUGGAGAAAGGGCCGGGCAAGACCGGCGCCAGCCGCCGCGGUAAUACCGGCGGCUCGAGUGGUGGCCACUUUUAUUGGGCUUAAAGCGUUCGUAGCUGGGUUGUUAAGUCUCUUGGGAAAUCUGGCGGCUUAACCGUCAGGCGUCUAAGGGAUACUGGCAAUCUUGGAACCGGGAGAGGUGAGGGGUACUUCGGGGGUAGGAGUGAAAUCCUGUAAUCCUCGAGGGACCACCUGUGGCGAAGGCGCCUCACCAGAACGGCUUCGACAGUGAGGGACGAAAGCUGGGGGAGCAAACCGGAUUAGAUACCCGGGUAGUCCCAGCCGUAAACUAUGCGCGUUAGGUGUAUCGGUGACCACGAGUUACCGAGGUGCCGAAGGGAAACCGUGAAACGUGCCGCCUGGGAAGUACGGUCGCAAGGCUGAAACUUAAAGGAAUUGGCGGGGGAGCA
rnacentral:rRNA from 1 species